UUUUUUAAUUGAGAACUUGUAUGAAAGGUUGAACGAGAUAUAAGCUGUUUUAAAUGAAUUAUAUUAGAACUUUACUUUUUAGUUAAAAGGCUUAAAUGAGUUUAAAAGACGAGAAGACCCUAUAGAGUUUUAUAAGUAAAUAUUUUUGAAAAUUUAGAAUAGUUUUAUUAUUAUUAUUUAACUUAUUUUGUUGGGGUGACAAUAAAAUUUAUUUUACUUUUAUUUUUAUUUUUCAUUGAUUUAUGAUUUUUAUUGAUCCAGUAUUAUUGAUUAAAAGUUUAAAUUACCUUAGGGAUAACAGCGUAAUUUUUUUGUAGAGUUCUUAUCAAUAAAAAAUUUUGC
rnacentral:rRNA from 1 species